UAAGCCUACGGGGGGCAGCAGUCGGGAAUAUUGCGCAAUGGAGGAAACUCUGACGCAGUGACGCCGCGUAUAGGAAGAAGGUUUUCGGAUUGUAAACUAUUGUCGUGAGGGAAGAAAUUGAUAUUACCCUUCGAGGAAGUCACGGCUAACUACGUGCCAGCAGCCGCGGUAAUACGUAGGUGGCGAGCGUUAUCCGGAAUGAUUGGGCGUAAAGGGUGCGUAGGCGGCCUGCUAAGUCUGGAGUGGAAGGUACCGGCUCAACCGGUACAGGCUCUGGAAAC
rnacentral:rRNA from 1 species